ensembl:lncRNA
AUUUACUCUCGCUGAUGUCCUGCUCUCCCGCUGUGUAUGGAAUGGAGAGAAAUUGUGCACCUAACCUGAUUUAAAUGGAGACUGAAGAUUAACCAGUCAUGCUAGGGAAAGUGGCGCACAGUUCACUGACAAGACUCGUGUAACGCUCCCCUCUCUUAAAUGUAGAGAUGAAACAGGGGAAGCAGGAACAUCUGGAGAGCAGACCUCAGCAGGUUAAGGUAAACAGCUUCUCCUUUUAUGGAAGAAUACAGAGGUACAGCAUGGAAGGCUUUCAAAGCUCCACGGGGGCCGCAACAUCUUGCUUCAAUUUGCUGAGGAAUCCAUCCACCUCUCCUGGACCUUACAGGAACCCUGAGUAGAGUAGGUCUGCAGAUGAGCAGCAGUCAGGAGUGAAGAGGAAAUGGAUGUCUGAAGACAGCCUCACACACACUAUACCACUGUGUUGCCAACACUGAUUGAACCCUAACGUAUUAUUUACAUUGUAUUGUCUGCCAAAGAAUGAUGUUUCUGAGCAAUUGGACCAUAAUAAAAUGAUCAACAGAUUUGCUACUCUCAAGGAGAGAAGACACAGGUUGAUGC